AGCCGGCGAAGCUCGGGGUGCGGUCGAGGCGGUAUGCGAUGCUGGUUGAGGACGGGGUUGUUAAGGUGCUCAAUUUGGAGGAGGGCGGGGCGUUCACCUUCAGCGGCGCUGGUGACAUUCUCAAGUCCCUUUGAUGGUUCAAUUCCAUUUCUGCUACUUUCCUCUUUCGUGUGAUUUUCAGCUGUGUGCUGGUAGUGUGAAUUUUGACUAUGCAACUUUGUUAGAACUGAAUGCAGAAUGAGUUGUUGUA
rnacentral:misc_RNA from 1 species